rnacentral:rRNA from 1 species
GACGAACGCUGGCGGCGUGCUUAACACAUGCAAGUCGAACGGAAAGGCCCUGCUUUUGUGGGGUGCUCGAGUGGCGAACGGGUGAGUAACACGUGAGUAACCUGCCCUUGACUUUGGGAUAACUUCAGGAAACUGGGGCUAAUACCGGAUAGGAGCUCCUGCUGCAUGGUGGGGGUUGGAAAGUUUCGGCGGUUGGGGAUGGACUCGCGGCUUAUCAGCUUGUUGGUGGGGUAGUGGCUUACCAAGGCUUUGACGGGUAGCCGGCCUGAGAGGGUGACCGGCCACAUUGGGACUGAGAUACGGCCCAGACUCCUACGGGAGGCAGCAGUGGAGAAUAGUGCACAAUGGGCGGAAGCCUGAUGCAGCAACGCCGCGUGCGGGAUGACGGCCUUCGGGUUGUAAACCGCUUUCGCCUGUGACGAAGCGUGAGUGACGGUAAUGGGUAAAGAAGCACCGGCUAACUACGUG